CGGUAGGCGCGGCGCAGUGACCGUCCGGAGUGUGCGUCUCUCUCGCUGCAGGCAGCUACCGGCUCCGCUGCGGGAGCGAGGCGGCUGCGGCGAUGGCGGUGGAGCGGGGCCGCCUGAGCUUCCCGGGCAGCGCCGGGGUGUUGAGCCGCCCAGUGCCCAUGAACCUAUUCGCCACCUGGGAGAUCGACGGCUCCAGCCCCAGCUGUGUCCCCAGGUUGUGUACCUUGACUUUAAAGAAAUUGGUCGUCUUAAAGGAAUUGGAUAAGGAGCUCAUUUCUGUGGUCAUUGCAGUCAAAAUGCAGGGCUCGAAGCGAAUACUACGGUCUCAUGAAAUUGUGCUACCACCAAGCGGACAUGUGGAAACCGAACUUGCACUAACUUUUUCACUACAGUAUCCUCACUUCUUGAAAAGAGAAGGCAACAAGCUUCAGAUCAUGCUGCAAAGGAGGAAGCGAUACAAAAACCGAACGAUUCUGGGCUACAAGACUUUAGCAGUGGGCUCCAUCAACAUGGCCGAGGUGAUGCAGCACCCGUCUGAAGGAGGCCAGGUUCUGAGCCUUUUCAGUAACAUCAAGGAAACCACGGCCAAAGUAGCAGAGAUCUGGAUCUUCUCACUGUCUAGUCAGCCAAUAGACCAUGAAGACAGCACCAUGCAGCCUAGCCAGAAGAUCAAGUCCACAGAUAACUAUUCUGAAGAAGAGUAUGAGAGCUUCUCUUCUGAGCAGGAAGCCAGUGAUGAUGCUGUCCAUGGACAGGAUUUGGACGAUGAUGAAUAUGAGCUGGGCAAGCCAAAGAAACAGCGGAGAUCGAUAGUAAGAACGACGUCCAUAACCAGGCAACAAAACUUCAAGCAGAAAGUGGUGGCGUUGCUGAGAAGGUUUAAAGUAUCUGAUGAGGUUCUGGAUUCAGAGCAGGACCCAGCAGAACAUGUGCCAGAAGUGGAGGAAGACUUGGACCUUCUGUACGAUACAUUGGAUAUAGACAACCCCAGUGACAGUGGCCCUGAAAUGGAAGAUGACGACAGUGUCCUCAGCACUCCUAAACCAAAGUUAAAACCGUAUUUUGAAGGCCUAUCACACUCCAGCUCUCAGACAGAAAUUGGUAGCAUCCACAGCAUCAGAAGCCAAAGAGAGCCAUCAAGUCCUGUAGAAGUGCCUGGAAAGACGACGAGCCUUGGAAGCAAACAUCCAGGCGACAGUAUCUCUGACACUGUGUCUUACGAGCCUAGCCAGCAAGACUCCCAGGAAGCAGAACUCUCCACACUGGAUGUGUUCAUUGAGAAGCUCCCACCAACUGGAAAAAUCACCAAGACAGAGUCUCUCAUUAUUCCUUCCACCAGCAGGCCAGAAGGGAAGCAAACUGGUCGCCGUGGCAGAAGCACUUCACUGAAGGAAAGGCAGCCAGCGAGGCCACAGAAUGAGAGGGCGAACAGCCUGGACAAUGAGCGCUCUCCAGACACCAGGCACCACCUGCAGAUUCCAAGGAAAACUGUAUAUGAUCAGUUGAAUCACAUCCUGAUUUCUGAUGACCAGCUACCAGAAAAUAUUAUUCUUGUCAAUACUUCGGACUGGCAAGGCCAGUUUCUCUCCGAUGUCUUGCAAAAACAUACCCUCCCUGUGGUCUGUACGUGCUCUUCUGCUGAUGUGCAGGCGGCUUUCAGUACGAUUGUCUCCAGGAUACAGAGAUACUGUAACUGCAAUUCUCAGCCUCCAAAUCCCAUUAAAAUUGCAGUGGCCGGAGCCCAGAAUUACCUCAGUGCUGUGUUGAGGCUCUUUGUAGAACAGCUGUCUCACAAAACCCCGGACUGGCUCAGCUACAUGAGAUUUUUGAUCAUCCCACUAGGUUCUCAUCCAGUGGCGAAGUAUCUAGGCUCUGUAGAUUACAGGUACAACAACUUCUUCCAAGACUUAGCGUGGAGAGAUUUGUUUAAUAAACUUGAAGCACAGACCACUGUUCAGGAAAUACCAGAUAUUGUCUCCAGAAUAACCCAGUAUAUAGCCGGGGCAAACUGUGCACACCAGUUGCCUAUUGCAGAAGCAAUGUUGACAUACAAACAGAAAAGCCCUGAUGAAGAAUCGUCCCAGAAGUUCAUUCCCUUUGUUGGGGUGGUAAAGGUUGGAAUAGUGGAACAGUCCUCAGCAACAUCAGGUGAUUCCGAUGACGCAGCUCCCUCUAGUUCCAGUGUCCUUUCCUCUACCCCGCCUUCUGUGUCUCCUGCUGUGAAGGAAGCUUCCCCCACCCCACCUUCCUCGCCGUCUGUCACGGGCAGCUUCUCUUCCUCCAGCCAGAGCCUUGGUGCUGAGCUGAUGGGACUACAGGUGGAUUACUGGAUUGCAGCUCAGCCCAUGGAGAAGAAGAGAGACCCGGAGAAGAAGGACCCUUCCACUGCCAAAAACACACUCAAAUGCACUUUCCGGUCUCUCCAGGUCAGCAGGUUACCCACGAGUGGGGAGACCACCAGCACUCCAACGAUGUCAAUGACAGUUGUGACAAAGGAAAAGAACAAAAAGGUGAUGUUUUUGCCCAAGAAAACAAAAGACAAGGAGAUCGAGUCUAAGAGUCAAUGCAUUGAAGGAAUUAGUAGAUUGAUUUGCACAGCAAAACAUCAGCAGAAUAUGCUGCGGGUCCUAAUUGAUGGCGUAGAGUGGAACGAUGUGAAGUUCUUUCAGCUGGCAGCACAGUGGUCCUCCCAUGUCAAGCACUUUCCCAUCUGCAUAUUCGGACACUCCAAACCUAACUUCUAACCACUUUAAGCAGUGCGGCUUUCUGCCUGUAUGGAGACUGCACACGCAGGAACCAGGAAUUUGAGUGCCAACUCUGACUCAAGUCUGCUUGCUCUCUCCUGCAGAUUACUUACAGAUGCGUCUGGAUUACUUCUGAAUUACUUUUUUCUAUUAAUUCUUAAGUUUACUACAAGGGAAGGAAAUCCACUGAACAAAACAAAAAACAGUCUUAAGCAGAAAUGUACCAAUAACAUGGAAAUUACCGGGAGAACCUCCAGAAGUGGGGUGACCUGCCGGAGAACUUAAGAGCAGAUAGCUGGAUAACUGCACUGCUUAUUAACCUGAAACCUCCUGGGUGUGUUUGUGGCUGGGUGUUCUGGAUUGGGCUUGAAUGGUUUUUGAGGGGAGAGUGGGAGGUACUGAGAGAAUGAAUUGUUUUAAAAUGUUUAACUCUGUGCCGCCCCCCUCCCCGACUUCACAUGAAGAAAGUAGAGCCUGGUUCAUCACCAGAUAGUUCAGGUACCAAGAAUGUGAAGCACAUUGCGCUGUCUGCCAAAAACCAAGCUAAUAACUGAGGGAAACCCCAGGAUUCUCCACAGGUGAAGAAAUGCCAGAGGGUCACUGUUUUAAGGCCAGCUACUGAAAUGGGCAGGCAUGUUCACUCUCGUGCCUGAUUCAGGUUGGGCAGAGACUGAAAUACAAAGUAUGAAAUGUCUGUUUGAGGAAUCCCAUUGCUCCAAGUCCAUCCCAAUAACCCAACCAAGUCAGUCACAACACCCCCUGCAGCCCGGAGCUGGAUUUGAAGGACACCAGUUCAGUGGGGUUGUUGCUAUUUAGAUUUUCACACAGAUUAUGGACAUCAAUAAAACCUUGCCCGGCCUCUCAAGAGAAUGGAUUUUUACAGGUGCAGAUUUUUUUUAAUGCUUUUAAAAAAGAUUAAGUUGCUAAAAAAAGAUAACAGGAAAGAUGAGCUGCUGUCUAAUGAGUCAGGCAUUAAUGUACUGGCUAGUUCCUGUGCCCCUUGGGCCUAUACACAUGAGCAGCUGCAUUUUACACCAGCUACGUUCACACCCACACAGCAAAAGCACAUGUGCAUGUGAAAGCACAUACAAUACCAGCUCGCAGCAAACGCGCUACCUGCAUACAUCAUCCUGAAUGUGCCCUCUCUUCUAGGCAGUGUGUACAGGGUUCCCCCCUCACAUGCCAAAUGGGAAUCCCUUGUUUGGGGGCCCCCUCCAGCCACGUGAGCUGCUGCUGCUGUUUCUGAGGCAGGAGGCCAUGUAGCAAAGCCAGCUCUGAGAGCAGAGGCAGAGAACUUCGGCUUGUCUGGACUGCGUUGGAAUGCCUCAUGCACGGAUUGUGUCAUCUGAGGGUUCUCUCAGCUAUUCUAGUUCUUUGACUCCAGCAGUGCACCUGUGUUGCACAGUGCACCGUUAGCCAGCUGGGCCACGUGCCGGCUUAGGAUCCAUCCUCCAAGGGGCCUGCCAUGGAAGAUGAGGGUGGAGGAGUCACUCAGUGCCACUGUACUUCCUGUGGACUUCUCUCCAUGGGAAAGAAGCUACUCCAGCAGGAUACAAGCUUGCAGCUAGCAGAACCCACCAUUCAGGGAUUAAGGAUUUACUGUGCAAAACCAACCAGUGCCUGUGUGAAAUGCACUGGCCACUAUAGCCCUGACCCUGAGCACUACUGCAGCUCAUGAGUGGGAAACUAUUCAGAAUUUCCCAUGCAAAGGAAAUCCUCCCUAUGGAACAGCAGCCAGCUGCCCCUGCCUUGUGGAAAACUCCUUGAGCUGCCCCUGCCACAGAGCAGAGACCCUAGGCCCUGAGAGCCCCGGUUCAAGCUGGGGCAUCCUGGCUCUGGAGCAGCAGACCUCCCCAGCCUCCCCACCAGGUGAGGUGGCCAUAAACCAGGCAGAAAUCUGCUGGGACUCAGCCUGUGGUUUGGCCAGAGUUUGGUGAAACCGAAGUAUUUUCAUACAAUAUUUUGGUUUCAGUGAACAGGCAUUUCCUGACAAGUGUUUUGACAGAAGUUUCCUGUCCAGUUCUAGGUUUAAGCUGGGAAUUGGAGCUGUGUAGAGAUCUAUCUGGAGGCCUCUGAGGAUGGAGAAGUACAGGUGCUGGGCCACGAAAAUGGCAGCGCUGGAGGAGGAGAGUGAACUCAUUGUUGGGGAAGUCGAUAUAGCCAUGGGAGUUCUGCAAGAGACGACUGUGAGAACAGGAAUGGUGGGUGUUGGGGUUCAGCCAAAGGUAGGGCAUUGGUGGGAUGGACCACCGCUAGGGGAGAACACAGAGUAAGGAGCCGGUGACUGAGCUGACAGGCAUGAGAAUGAGGCCUGGUAGACAUGGAGAGAGAUGGAACCAGCGUGAGGUGGAAGGGGCAGGUGAGUGAUGCUGAGACAGUUGGACAGGGAGACCUUGGCGAUAAAGAUGAGGGAGCAGUGCAUGGUGAAGACCAGGUCAGCUGAGUGGCCACGUUGAUCCACGGCUACAGUUAAAGGAAGUGAUGAGUGCAAAGAUGUGUGGGGCUAAGGGCCUAACAGGACAGCAGCACAGAAGGGGAGAAAUAGCUCUACAUCUGUUAUACAAGCUGUUAGGUUCACAGCAUAGAAACAGAGAAAUUAGAGGGAUGAAAAUGUUAUAUUGCAACAUUCCAGAAAGAAUGACUGUAUAUCUUAAAAUGCAGCACCCUAACACACAAGAACCCAAAGCAGAGAGAGACAGACAAAGCAGGCUGCUCCCUAAGGCAGAGGGGAACAACCCACCCACCUUGCUCUAAGCUGGUUCUUUGCAGACUGACUGCUAAAGACCCAAAACACAGGCUUCCUACAGAGCCCCCUAACCUGCAGGCAGGACCAGGAAGUCUCCAUAGAAUUUAAAGUGAUAGCUACACUUUAAAGAGUUUUCAAUAUACCACACAAGAUAAACUGUCUGUUGAAAGCAGCACUGCCCAACCUCUGCCACUAAUGCAGCAUCCAGCUCUAUCAGUGACUUAUCUAGCUGCUGUGUAGUCUGUGACUGGAUCAGAGCUCCUGGCCCUAUCUCUGCUCUCUGGCCCAGAACAGCCUGAGUCUGUCCCAGCAUGCAGCCAAGAGCAUAGAAUAAUAAAAAAAAGUGUGUGUGUGUGGGGGGGUUAAUUUGAGAGAAGAAGAGCUAAUUAUGGGUCUGCAGUCUACAAAUAUUUGCAGGGUCUGAAUACCAUGGAGGGAGGAGGACUAUGUAUGGAAGUACAAACAUUAAUGGGAAGAAAGGAAAGUUUAAUAUAGCUGGUUGACAAGGGGAAGUUCCUCAUGGUGAGGAGUAUCGGUCUUUGGAAUGGACUCUCAAGGGAAGUUGUGGUCUUCACAAAGCCAGCCAACCACACUUCAUGUGUGAAGCUUUCCCUGUGGCAUGUACCUAUAGAAACAGGAUGCAUGAGCUCACCGAGAAACCCAAUGCAACAAAUACAAUAAAAGCAGAAUGUUCGUUCGACAAGUAGCUCUCCUCUUUCCCCGUUCUCAUGAGUACUCCUAGCUAACUGAGCUGACAUCAUCACCCCAACAUGGCUGGACUCACCUGAGGAAGAGCAUUCCUUCUACAAUGUGGAUUCCUUACUGCAAGCUGUGGGAGCACCCAGGCUGGUGGGAGAUGCUGGUGUGAGAGUCAAUACAACAAAUCAUUUGGGCAUGUUUAUGAUACAGGGCAGUUUUUAAAUAGUGUCUGUGCUGAACUGCAGCCUGCAUAAUCUGGAACUACGUUCUAGUCCGUGCCUGGCUUGACUUCAGCUGGUAACACCAGAUACAGGGUUCUGACCCUAAACAUAUGUUGAAAUAAGGAGACCAUGGAAAAAAUCAGUAUUCUCUCUGGAGCUGGGGGCCUAGGUGAUGGGCUCUUUCUUGCGUUUCAUGCACUAAACCAGAGGAGACGAACGUGGACAGAGUUCCAUGCAUGGUGGAAGGUAUCAACCAGGGUGGGCAAAGAGAGCAAGGUGACCGGGCCAGCAUACGGAUAGUGGAAAUGAGGCCUUGUCUUCACUUACCGGAGGGUCCGGCGGCACGCAAUCGAUGUUCUGGGAUCGAUUUAUCGCGUCUGGUUAAGACGCGAUAAAUCGAUCCCGGAAGUGCUCGCCGUCGACGCCAGUACUCCAGCUCGCCGAGAGGAGUACGCGGCAUCGACGGGGGAGCCUUCCUGCCACGUCUGGACCGCGGUAAGUUCGGACUAAGGUACUUCGAAUUCAGCUACGUUAUUAACGUAGCUGAAUUUGCGUACCUUAGUCCGAAGUAGGGACUUAGUGGGGACCAGGCCUGAGAAUUGAGCAUAGGAGGGCAAUGGCUGGGAAGGGCACCGAGAUUAUGCACGGCCUUGGGAGGCUGAGGAGCUCUGAUCUGACAUAGUAGGAAACUAACAGAGGGAUUGAAAGACAAUGUGAUGCAGGGAGAUGACUGGCCUCUUAUCACUCCUUUCCAUUGAGAAUGGUGCUGCCAGACAAAAGGGUGCAGUAAUAGAGUAGAGAGAUGACUGGGGCAUGGAGACAUUUUAAUAGUGGGGUGAGGGAUGAAAGUUGGAUUUUGGAGAAAUUCAGAAGGAAGAAGUCAAAGGCCCUAGGGAGAGACUAGAUACAUGAGGAAGGGAAAGGUGGCCCAACAACUGAGCCUAAGAUAGGAAGAACAGCUGUGAGGUGGUUGUUGGAGGAAGAGGCUAGGGGACUGUCAUAACUAUAAAGGGAAGGGUAACAGCCCUCCUGUGUACUAUACUAUAAAAUCCCUCCUGGCCAGAGAUUCCAAAAUCCUUUUACCUGUAAAAGCUCAGGUAACCUGGUUGACACCUGACCCAAAGGACCAAUAAGGGGACAAGAUACUUUCAAAUCUUGGUGAGGGGAAGGUUUUUGUUUGUGCUCUUUGUUUUGGUGGUGGUUCGCUCUUGGGACUGAGAGGGACCAGACAUCAAUCCAUGCUCUCCAAAUCUUUCUGAACAAGUCUCUCAUAUUUCAAACUUGUAAGUAAACAGCCAGACAAGGCGUUAGUUUUAUCUUUGUUUUCUCAACUUGUAAAUGUACCUUUUACUAGGGUGUUUACCUCUGUUUGCUGUAACUUUGAACCUAAGACUAGAGGGGGUUCCUCUGGGCUCUAAGUUUGAUUACCCUGUAAAGUUAUUUUCCAUCCUGAUUUUACAGAGAUGAUUUUUACCUUUUUCUUUAAUUAAAAGCCUUUUUAAGAACCGGAUUGAUUUUUCCUUGUUUUUAGAUCCAAGGGGGUUGGAUCUGUAUUCACCAGGGCAUUG